CGAUACAAUAUACAUCUGGAGUUUAUUUGACAUGUUAAUCAAAAUCCAAUGGUUCACGACCAACAAACACAGCACAAGCAAUAACUAGUAUACAAUGAAUAUUUAUUUUGUUGGUUGGUUGGAGCCAUCAUGCAAUUACACGAUUGUAGUGAAAAAGAUUGCAAGAUCACUAUGGAUCUCUUGUCCUCUGAGGCAUAAAUCGGUUUAAACUAUUGUAAUAUGCGGAAUUGGAUUGGCCAUUUCUUCCUCUCUAUAAAUCAAUUAGUAUAUAAUCCAAUCAAAGUGUUU
rnacentral:lncRNA from 1 species